AUGGGUGGUUCUAGGAGAUUUAAUGAGAUUUUAUAUUCCUCGGAGAAAGAGGGGGGCAAUGCCAGACCAAAUGGAAUGAUGAAGGACUUUCGUGAUUGUCUAGCAGAAUGUGGCUUGGCUGAUAUGGGGUUCAUAGGCGACCCAUUUACAUGGAGGAGAUGUGAGAUUAGGGAACGUCUUGACCGUGCAGUAUGUAAUGUAUGGGCGCAUAAAUUUCCUCGGGCGGCUGUGAUUAAUGAAAACCAUGUACAUUCUGACCACCGGCCGUUAGUUUUGGAUAUGGAUUAUUUUGACGGUAAUAUGUUUAGGCCACUCAACAGGGGUAUUAAAAAAAUUUGA
rnacentral:rRNA from 1 species